AUGUUAUUUUGCUGAUGUUGACAGGGAUGAGCUAAGUUGAUCUUGAUGGAGAGACAUGACAAUGGCAGGGAAGAGGCAGAGCAUGGAUGGAGCUAUCAACAAAAUAAAUUGAGAAUGGGAGAAGUUUGUUGUGGCUCUACUCAUGCACUGCCUUUUCCCUGGCCACGUCUCAGUCUCCGUUUCUCAUGAGAGCAUGUUAGGAUACACAGUAGAAAAAACAU
rnacentral:pre_miRNA from 1 species